CCAUACAAUAGAGGAGCAGGCGCGCAAUUACCCAAUCCUGACUCAGGGAGGUAGUGACAAGAAAUAACGAUAAACCGGCUUAUGCCGGUUUAAUUGGAAUGAGUACAAUUUAAACAUCUUAACGAGGAACAAUUGGAGGGCAAGUCUGGUGCCAGCAGCCGCGGUAAUUCCAGCUCCAAUAGCGUAUACUAAAGUUGUUGCAGUUAAAAAGCUCGUAGUUGGAUUUCUGUGGGGACGGAGCGGCCGGCCGCACAUCGCGGUUCGAGCUAGCGCUUUCCCUACAUCCUGCCGCGAACCGUGCUACCAUUAAUUUGGUGGCGCCGGGGAUCGGCUCGAUUACUUUGAGAAAAAUAGAGUGUUCAAAGCAGGCCACAUGCCUUGAAUAAGUUAGCAUGGAAUAAUAACUAAGGACUUCGGUUCUAUUUUGUUGGUGUUCGGGACUGAAGUAAUGAUUGAUAGGGACAGUUGGGGCGGUCUGUAUUCCAAAGCGAGAGGUGAAAUUCUUAGACCUUCGGAAGACAAACAGCUGCGAAAGCGUUCCGCAAGGAUGUUCCCUUUGAUCAAGAACGAAAGUUGGGGGAUCGAAGACGAUCAGAUACCGUCGUAGUCUCAACUAUAAACUAUACCAGCUAGGGAUCGGCCAACGUUAUUUUAUACCGACUUGGUCGGCACCUUAUGAGAAAUCAAAGCAUCUGGGUUCCGGGGGGAGUAUGGUCGCAAGGCUGAAACUUAAAGGAAUUGACGGAAGGGCACCACCAGCCGUGGAGCCUGUGGCUUAAUUUGACUCAACACGGGAAAACUUACCAGGUCCAGACAUAGUAAGGAUUGACAGAUUGAUAGCUCUUUCUUGAUUCUGUGGGUGGUGGUGCAUGGCCGUUCUUAGUUGGUGGAGUGAUUUGUCUGGUUAAUUCCGUUAACGAACGAGACCCCAGCCUGCUAAAUAGCGCGCGUGAGCUUUGCUCGCGGCGAGCUUCUUAGAGGGACUAUGAUGCGCGAUAGCACAUGGAAGUUUGGGGCAAUAACAGGUCUGUGAUGCCCUUAGAUGUUCUGGGCCGCACACGGGCUACACUGGCGCCUGCAACGAGCAUAUCAGCUGGCCCGAGAGGGUCUUGGCUAAUCUUUUGAACCGGCGCCGUGCUUGGGACUGACCUUUGCAAUUGUUGGUCAUGCAACGAGGAAUGCCUUGUAAACGCGAGUCAUCAGCUCGCAUUGAAUACGUCCCUGCCCUUUGUACACACCGCCCGUCGCUCCUACCGAUGAAUGUUCCGAUGAAAUUUUCGGAGAGCACCUGUGAACUUGGCUCUGCCUUGCGAACGGGAGGCUCAAAGUCACUAAAAUCGAAACUUUAAG
rnacentral:rRNA from 1 species